AUUGAACGCUGGCGGCAUGCCUUACACAUGCAAGUCGAACGGCAGCACGGGAGCAAUCCUGGUGGCGAGUGGCGAACGGGUGAGUAAAGUAUCGGAACGUGCCCAGUCGUGGGGGAUAACGUUGCGAAAGUUACGCUAAUACCGCAUACGAUCUAGUGAUGAAAGCGGGGGAUCGCAAGACCUUGCGCGAUUGGAGCGGCCGAUAUCAGAUUAGGUAGUUGGUGGGGUAAAGGCUCACCAAGCCGACGAUCUGUAGCUGGUCUGAGAGGACGACCAGCCACACUGGGACUGAGACACGGCCCAGACUCCUACGGGAGGCAGCAGUGGGGAAUUUUGGACAAUGGCGCAAGCCUGAUCCAGCCAUGCCGCGUGCAGGAUGAAGGCCUUCGGGUUGUAAACUGCUUUUGUACGGAACGAAAAGGUUUGACUUAAUACGUUGGACUCAUGACGGUACCGUAAGAAUAAGCACCGGCUAACUACGUGCCAGCCGCCGCCGUAA
rnacentral:rRNA from 1 species